UAACAUGAUGACUUGCAGAAGUAGUAAUGUGGCCUCUGCCAGUAUUUUAGAGUACUGGAGACCACGGGGACACUAACGUAGGUGUGGAGCAGAUAUUGGUUUCUGCUUAGCAUCUAGAAACUGUCUGUACACACUGCAGUAAAGAGAUGACCAAGAGACUCCAUCUCUCUGAAAAGUUGGGCUCCAGUGCUGUGAAUCCCCCAUGCAUGAAGCAAGAUACCAGUACAUGGAGUAUGUUCAGAAGAGCUAAGAGGCUAAACCCUUUCAUAAGGAGUGAGAAAAAUCUGGCUUCCACCACAGACCAUGGAACAUGAUCAGGAACCAUCUCAGUAGAAAAGCCUACUGCCUUCAGUGAGAUUUCCUAUCUUAUAUUCAUAGAAAUAGGUUUGUAUAUCAGACUCUGACCUUCUGGUGUUGGGCAGUAUUCAAAAGCCUGAAGAGGAUAUUUGAGGUAUUAAAGCAGUUUUGAAAGAGAGCAACCCCAAUUUUCUUCCACUUUUGAAUGCCACUGAAGAUGUUUAAGACAGAGUAAUGUUUACAUGUCACAAAUGGAUGUUCCAGGUCUGGGCUCCUAGAAAUAAAAGACUGUAAUGUUGCACUACUUAAGAUUUAUUGACCAUGCACAUGAUCUCAGAGGAUUUUACUUGUUUGAGGGUAACAGUGUGGUACGAUCAGUGAAUGCAAAAUUCAUACUGCAAAGAAGAACUCUAUGUAUAUACAUAUAUAUAUAUAUAUGUUCUGUUUGGUUUAAGUUAAACUUUUAUUGUAGGUUGAUUCUUAAAUUAUAGUUCCCAGAUGGCACCACUCAGAAUUUAUAUCCAGAAGGAUCUUAAUGUUUCCACAACAUUUCCAUCAGCGCUCACUUCUACCCAUUUAUAGAACUUGUCUAUCUCCAUAUGUCAAAGAACAUUUAUAUGUUAGAAACAAUUCUAUGUUAGAAAGAUGAAAUGGAAGAUUCCUUUGUCUAUAAGGGAUAGGAUAAAAAAUUGAUAAAUUGUGAAGAGUCAAGAGAAAGGAUUCUCCUUUCCCAACUGUGACCUCUUCAGAACCAAACUAGAAACCAUGUAUAGGGAGUUUGAUUUGUAUAUUACUGUUUUUCAGCAACUGCACUCUCCAGAUACACAACAGGAACUGGAUGGUUAUUUACAGUGCUAAGGGGAGAAGACUUUCACUUCAUCUAACUUUUGUACUCUAUAAAUUAAGCACGCUAGGUAAUCAGUUAUGUGUGCAACCUCACUAGUGAGUGGAGAGGGACCAGCAAUUAUAGAAAGUGAUUCAUCCCGUUAAUCAUAUGGGAUACUAUAUUAAGAUGAAUCCACUACCAUGUGGCUAUGCAGUUUCUUUCCACAGACCACGGAAGGAGUCUAGAUGGCUAGCUGAGAAUGGAUGCCUAGGAUCCAUAAAUCAUAUCCUAAAGUAUUGGAAAGCCUUUAAAAUCUGUCCUUUGCACAAUCCUGUAGUCCAAGCCAGCACUACAGUGUUGAGCUAUGAGGAAUAUUUGCUACUUCAAUAUCAAUACCCUGCAGCCUUUCCCUUAUACAUACUGUUUCUUCUACAUGUUGUACAUGUUCAGUGAUAAGAACCAGGCCUUCACUGAUUUAUACAAGAAAGUCAGGAAUUAUACAACUUUCUCAUCCAUGAUCUUCAUUCAUUACAGGAUAUGGCAAGACCAGUAACUGAGUAUUUUUACUUGGGAGUAUAGCGAGGCUGUUGCUUGUCCAUGGCACACCUGUCCCUGGGUCAGUUUUCCAACAUAUGAGUAUACUAUAGUUACGAUCCAUUUCAAAGCUGUGCUUUAUGAAUUUCUUGAUAACAGAGACAGAUUCACCUGCCAAAUACACUCCCAGAAUCCAGAGACAUUCUAAGGUACUAGGCCUGCUAGAUGACACUCUGUUCUGUCUUUAGAAGUUGCAAAAACAUCCCAAAGUCAUCUUAAACAUAACGGUUAUUGUCAUCUGUCGCCUUUGGUUUUAUGUCCUUAAUGGUGAAAUACUGGCUCUUGACUUCUCCUGUUUCCAUGAAAGUGAAAAUGGUGCCACUUCAGUGAUCACCAUACUUUUGUAUUUCUCAAUUUGCAAGCUCAGAAAUAAAAAUGAAUAGAACUGUGUUUCUUGGUCAUAAGACUUUGUAGAUUUUUUCCUUAUGCCAAAGAACAAUAAAUCACAAAACACUAUGGCCCAAAAUAGUCAACUUCUGGACAGCUGAGGCAAUCACUUCUCAUUUGAUAAACCUAAAAUAAAAUAUCAGUGCAGUCUGUUCUGGUACUAGCAUGAAGAUCUCUUACUGCAGUGAGUGCCCUGAUCACCAGGCAACUGAGCACGUGUGAUCUCUGUCUCACACUUGAUCAGCAAUUCUAUCCUGGCUUUUGUGAAAAAUUUUGCUUAAGUCAGACAUUCCUGUGUAAAGAAUCGGUGUCAGGAAGCAGAUAGUUUCUAAAAUAAAUAAAGAAAAACAACUUGUUUUGUCAGACAGAUUUUUUGACAGUUCUAUUAGAGUAAGG
rnacentral:lncRNA from 1 species